CAGCCGCCACGGGAAUACGUAGGGUGCAAGCGUUAAUCGGAAUUACUGGGCGUAAAGCGUGCGCAGGCGGUUAUAUAAGACAGAUGUGAAAUCCCCGGGCUCAACCUGGGAACUGCAUUUGUGACUGUAUAGCUAGAGUACGGCAGAGGGGGAUGGAAUUCCGCGUGUAGCAGUGAAAUGCGUAGAUAUGCGGAGGAACACCGAUGGCGAAGGCAAUCCCCUGGGCCUGUACUGACGCUCAUGCACGAAAGCGUGGGGAGCAAACAGGAUUAGAUACCCCUGAGUCCCUGUCUCUUAUACA
rnacentral:rRNA from 1 species